UUGACCUCGGAUCAGGUACGAAGCCGAU
rnacentral:rRNA from 1 species